AGAGUUUGAUCCUGGCUCAGGACUAACGCUGGCGGCGUGCCUAACACAUGCAAGUCGUACGGAAAGGCUCUAGCUUGCUAGAGUACUCGAGUGGCAAACGGGUAGUAACGCGUAAGGAAUCUACCUUUUGGACGGGGACAACCAACUGAAAAGUUGGCUAAUACCGGAUAAGUUCUUUUUCUCGCAUGGGAAGAAGAGGAAACCAGCUUGCUGGCCGAAAGAUGACCUUGCGUCCGAUUAGUUAGUUGGUGAGGUAAUGGCUCACCAAGACUUUGAUCGGUAACUGGUCUGAGAGGAUGAUCAGUCACAUUGGGACUGCGACACGGCCCAGACUCCUACGGGAGGCAGCAGUGAGGAAUUUUGCGCAACGGGGGAAACCCUGACGCAGCGACGCCGCGUGGAGGAUGAAUUCUUUCGGGAUGUAAACUCCUGUCAGUGGGGAAGAUAAUGACGGUACCCACAGAGGGAGCACCGGCUAACUAUGUGCCAGCAGCCGCGGUAAUACAUAGGGUGCAAGCGUUGUCCGGAUUUAUUGGGCGUAAAGCGCGCGUAGGCGGUAGACUAAGUUGGAUUUGAAAGGCCAAGGCUCAACCUUGGUUUGGGUCCAAUACUGGUUUACUAGAGAGUAGGAGAGGGAAGUAGAAUUUACGGCGUAGCGGUGAAAUGCGUAGAUAUCGUAAGGAAUACCAGUGGCGAAGGCGGCUUCCUGGACUACUUCUGACGCUGAGGCGCGUAAGCGUGGGUAGCAAACAGGAUUAGAUACCCUGGUAGUCCACGCUGUAAACGAUGUUCAUUAGGUGUGGGAGGUUUCAAUACCUUCUGUGCCGUAGCUAACGCGUUAAAUGAACCGCCUGGGGAGUACGGUCGCAAGACUAAAACUCAAAGGAAUUGACGGGGGCCCGCACAAGCAGUGGAUCAUGUGGUUUAAUUCGAUGAUACGCGAAGAACCUUACCAGCACUUGACAUCUAGGGAAUCUUUUAGAGAUAAGAGAGUGCCUUCGGGAACCCUAAGACAGGUGGUGCAUGGUUGUCGUCAGCUCGUGUCGUGAGAUGUUGGGUUAAGUCCCGCAACGAGCGCAACCCUCGUCCUAUGUUGCUACCUUCGGGAGCACCCUUAGGAGACUGCCUGUGGAAAACAGGAGGAAGGUGGGGAUGACGUCAAAUCAUCAUGCCCCUUACGUGCUGGGCUACACACAUGAUACAAUGGAUGGUACAAAGGGUUGCUAAGCCGCAAGGUGGUGCUAAUCUCAGAAAACCAUUCUCAGUUCGGAUUGUAGUCUGCAACUCGACUACAUGAAGUUGGAAUUGCUAGUAAACGCAGAUCAGAACGCUGCGUUGAAUACGUUCCCGGGCCUUGUACACACCGCCCGUCACACCAUGAGAGCUGGAUAUACCCGAAGUCGGUGAGCUAACCGCAAGGAGGCAACCGCCGAAGGUAGAGCUGGUAAUUGGGGUGAAGUCGUAACAAGGUA
rnacentral:rRNA from 1 species